rnacentral:ncRNA from 1 species
AAACUGAAGAGUUUGAUCAUGGCUCAGAUUGAACGCUGGCGGCAGGCUUAACACAUGCAAGUCGAGCGGGGAGAUGUAGCUUGCUACAUUUCCUAGCGGCGGACGGGUGAGUAAUGCUUAGGAAUCUGCCUAUUAGUGGGGGACAACGUUUCGAAAGGAACGCUAAUACCGCAUACGCCCUACGGGGGAAAGCAGGGGAUCUUCGGACCUUGCGCUAAUAGAUGAGCCUAAGUCAGAUUAGCUAGUUGGUGGGGUAAAGGCCUACCAAGGCGACGAUCUGUAGCGGGUCUGAGAGGAUGAUCCGCCACACUGGGACUGAGACACGGCCCAGACUCCUACGGGAGGCAGCAGUGGGGAAUAUUGGACAAUGGGGGGAACCCUGAUCCAGCCAUGCCGCGUGUGUGAAGAAGGCCUUUUGGUUGUAAAGCACUUUAAGCGAGGAGGAGGCUACUAGUACUAAUACUACUGGAUAGUGGACGUUACUCGCAGAAUAAGCACCGGCUAACUCUGUGCCAGCAGCCGCGGUAAUACAGAGGGUGCGAGCGUUAAUCG